rnacentral:misc_RNA from 1 species
GAUGGCUUGUCUUAAAUGCAUUAGCUGACCCAUGUUGUACGUUUGGUUCUACUCAGCGUGAUAAUUAUCUGACCGCUGAGGACAUCUGCCUUGUGUAGAUGGCCAGAUUUACCUUGAGUUGCUUCUAACCUGUACGCUUUCACAAGUGACACCUUUUCAACUUUGACCUCGAAUCAGGUGGGACUACCCGCUGAACUUAA